rnacentral:lncRNA from 1 species
UGAAAUGAAGAAGUUUACAGAUAAAUCCCUUACAAAGGUUUUUCAUGGAAGACUCUUGAGCAUUGUGCUGAAGAAGAAAUUAGGAAGCAAGAUCAAAGAUGAUGAGGGAGAGCCACUAAACGUCCAUAAAGUCAUGUCUCCACAGCUGUUUGUAAACUGGAAGAAAAAUCCCAAGGAAAACAGGAGGCUUAUGACAACUGGGAGCAACAUCAAGGUCUCUGCAAAGAAGAGGAAGGCACAA